rnacentral:rRNA from 1 species
AGCGAACGCUGGCGGCGUGCCUAACACAUGCAAGUCGAACGUGAAAGGGAGCACUCCCCAGUAACGUGGCGUACGGGUGAGUAACACGUAGGUAAUCUACCCCAGAAUCUGGAAUAACCGGCCGAAAGGCUGGCUAAUACUUGAUAGAGCGACGGAAUCCGUAAUUGGGUUUUUCGGGAAAGGGAGCCUGUAAAAAGGCCUUCGUUCUGGGAUGAGCCUGCGUCCCAUCAGCUAGUUGGUGAGGUAAAAGCUAACCAAGGCAAUGACGGGUAGCUGGUCUGAGAAGACGAUCAGCCACACUGGGACUGAAACACGGUCCAGACUCCCACGGGAGGCAGCAGGGGGGAAUCUUGCGCAAUGGACGAAAGUCUGACGCAGCAACGCCGCGGGAGUGAAGAAGGCCGUCGGGUUGUAAAGCUCUGUCGAGUGGGACGAAAAUGCUUGGAGUUCACAGCUCCAGGAACUGACGGUACCACUAAAGGAAGCACCGGCUAACUCCGUG